AUUUUAUUGAGAGUUUGAUCCUGGCUCAGGAUGAACGCUGGCGGCGUGCUUAACACAUGCAAGUCGAACGAGAAUCAACGGAUUGAGGAUUCGUCCAAAUG
rnacentral:rRNA from 1 species